UGCAAGUCGAACGGAAACGAUGGUAGCUUGCUACCAGGCGUCAAGUGGCGGACGGGUGAGUAACGCGUAGUAAUCUGCCCAGUAGUGGGGGACAACCAGGGGAAACCCUGGCUAAUACCGCAUACACUCUACGGAGAAAAGGAGGCCUCUUCUUGAAAGCUUUCGCUAUUGGAUGAGCCUGCGUGAGAUUAGGUAGUUGGUAGGGUAAAGGCCUACCAAGCCUGCGAUCUAUAGCUGGUCUGAGAGGAUGAUCAGCCACACUGGGACUGAGACACGGCCCAGACUCCUACGGGAGGCAGCAGUGGGGAAUAUUGGACAAUGGGCGAAAGCCUGAUCCAGCAAUGCCGCGUGUGUGAAGAAGGCCUGAGGGUUGUAAAGCACUUUCAGUAGGGAAGAAAGGUCAAGCGUUAAUAGCGCUAGGCUGUGACGUUACCUACAGAAGAAGCACCGGCUAACUCCGUGCCAGCAGCCGCGGUAAUACGGAGGGUGCGAGCGUUAAUCGGAAUUACUGGGCGUAAAGCGCGCGUAGGCGGCCUGAUAAGUUGGAUGUGAAAGCCCUGGGCUUAACCUAGGAACUGCAUUCGAUACUGUUUAGCUAGAGUACAGUAGAGGGAAGCGGAAUUCCUAGUGUAGCGGUGAAAUGCGUAGAUAUUAGGAGGAACACCAGUGGCGAAGGCGGCUUUCUGGACUGAUACUGACGCUGAGGUACGAAAGCGUGGGGAGCAAACAGGAUUAGAUACCCUGGUAGUCCACGCCCUAAACGAUGAGAACUAGAUGUUGGAGACGUUGGUCUUUAGUGUCGCAGCUAACGCGUUAAGUUCUCCGCCUGGGGAGUACGGCCGCAAGGUUAAAACUCAAAUGAAUUGACGGGGGCCCGCACAAGCGGUGGAGCAUGUGGUUUAAUUCGAUGCAACGCGAAAAACCUUACCUACUCUUGACAUACAGAGAACUUUCUAGAGCUAACUUGGUGCCUUCGGGAACCGAGUGACAGGUGCUGCAUGGUUGUCGUCAGCUCGUGUCGUGAGAUGUUGGGUUAAGUCCCGCAACGAGCGCAACCCUUGAUCUUAGUUGCGACCAUUUAGUUGGGCACUUUAAGGAGACUGCCGGUGAUAAACCGGAGGAAGGUGGGGACGACGUCAAGUCAUCAUGGCCCUUAUGGGUAGGGCUACACACGUGCUACAAUGGCCGGUACAGAGGGUCGCUAACUUGCGAGAGUACGCUAAUCCCUUAAAGCCGGUCCUAGUCCGGAUUGGAGUCUGCAACUCGACUCCAUGAAGCUGGAAUCGCUAGUAAUCGCGGAUCAGAAUGCCGCGGUGAAUUCGUUGCCGGGUCUUGUACACACCGCCCGUCACGCCAUGGGAGUGGGUUGCAAAAGAAGUGGGUAGGCUAACCUUCGGGAGGCCGCUCACCACUU
rnacentral:rRNA from 1 species